AACGUAGGAGACAAACGUUAUCCGGAGUUACUGGGCGUAAAGGGCGUGUAGGUGGUUUCGUAAGUCUGGCGUGAAAUUUUUCGGCUUAACCGGGAAAGGUCGUCGGAUACUGCGGAACUAGAGGACGGUAGAGGCGUGUGGAAUUCCGGGUGUAGUGGUGAAAUGCGUAGAGAUCAGGAAGAACACCCGUGGCGAAGGCGGCCCACUGGGCCGGUACUGACGCUGAGGCACGAAAGCUAGGGGAGCGAACGGG
rnacentral:rRNA from 1 species